ACCAAGGAACUAAGUGCAGAGCUCCACCCACAGAAGUUCAGCUAUACCACACGUUUCAGACUUCACAAACUCAGCUGAAAGCUCUAAAGACUUCAUCUACAAACCACUCUGCCCAUUUUACCUCCAUUCACGGUUGGCUGGCCGGUGCUGACGGGACGGAGCUGAGGCUAGGGUUAAUUUCCUAUGUUAGACUUCCGCUGUAGCAAUUACUCAUAUCCGUCUUUUGUUUUCCCAACUUAAGAUCUUCAUGUUAAAUUACAAAUGAUA